rnacentral:tRNA from 2 species
GCCGGCGUAGCUCAGUUGGUAGAGCAGUUGUUUUGUAAACAACAGGUCGCCAGUUCAACCCUGGCCGCCGGCU